rnacentral:rRNA from 1 species
GAUGAACGCUGGCGGCGUGCCUAAUACAUGCAAGUCGAGCGAACAGACGAGGAGCUUGCUCCUCUGACGUUAGCGGCGGACGGGUGAGUAACACGUGGAUAACCCACCUAUAAGACUGGGAUAACUUCGGGAAACCGGAGCUAAUACCGUAUAAUAUAUUGAACCGCAUGGUUCAAUAGUGAAAGACGGUUUUGCUGUCACUUAUAGCUGGAUCCGCGCCGCAUUAGCUAGUUGGUAAGGUAACGGCUUACCAAGGCAACGAUGCGUAGCCGACCUGAGGGGGGGAUCGGCCACACUGGAACUGAGACACGGUCCAGACUCCUACGGGAGGCAGCAGUAGGGAAUCUUCCGCAAUGGGCGAAAGCCUGACGGAGCAACGCCGCGUGAGUGAUGAAGGUCUUCGGAUCGUAAAACUCUGUUAUUAGGGAAGAACAAAUGUGUAAGUAACUAUGCACGUCUUGACGGUACCUAAUCAGAAAGCCACGGCUAACUACGUG